AAAGUAAUCCCUCCGUUCCAUAAUUUUUGUCUCAAAUUUGCCCAAAAAUGGAUGUAUCUAUUUUAAAAAAGUCUAGAUACAUGUAAUAACAUGUUAAUAUUUCGACAAGAAUUAUGGAACAGAGGAAGUAUAGU
rnacentral:pre_miRNA from 1 species